AUUGAACGCUGGCGGCAUGCCUUACACAUGCAAGUCGAACGGUAACAGGUCUUCGGAUGCUGACGAGUGGCGAACGGGUGAGUAAUACAUCGGAACGUGCCUAGUAGUGGGGGAUAACUACUCGAAAGAGUGGCUAAUACCGCAUGAGAUCUACGGAUGAAAGCAGGGGAUCGCAAGACCUUGUGCUACUAGAGCGGCCGAUGGCAGAUUAGGUAGUUGGUGGGAUAAAAGCUUACCAAGCCGACGAUCUGUAGCUGGUCUGAGUGGACGAUCAGCCACACUGGGACUGAGACACGGCCCAGACUCCUACGGGAGGCAGCAGUGGGGAAUUUUGGACAAUGGGCGAAAGCAUGAUUCAGCAAUGCCGCGUGCAGGAUGAAGGCCUUCGGGUUGUAAACUGCUUUUGUACGGAACGAAAAGCCCCGGGUUAAUACCCUGGGGUCAUGACGGUACCGUAAGAAUAAGCACCGGCUAACUACGUGCCAGCCGCCGCCGUAA
rnacentral:rRNA from 1 species